rnacentral:rRNA from 1 species
GGUCCCCUACGGGAGGCAGCAGUGAGGAAUAUUGGUCAAUGGGCGCGAGCCUGAACCAGCCAAGUCGCGUGAGGGAAGACGGUCCUAUGGAUUGUAAACCUCUUUUGUCGGGGAGCAAAAGACGCCACGCGUGGCGUUCCGAGAGUACCCGAAGAAAAAGCAUCGGCUAACUCCGUGCCAGUAGCCGCGGUAAUACGGAGGAUGCGAGCGUUCUCCGGAUUUAUUGGGUUUAAAGGGUGCGCAGGCGGAAGAUCAAGUCAGCGGUAAAAUUGAGAGGCUCAACCUCUUCGAGCCGU